rnacentral:rRNA from 1 species
UACGAGGGGGGCGAGCGUUGUUCGGAAUUAUUGGGCGUAAAGGGUGCGUAGGCGGUUCCGCAAGUCCUGUGUGAAAUCUUCGGGCUCAACUCGAAGUCUGCACGGGAAACUGCGGGGCUUGAGUGUGGAAGAGGAGAGUGGAAUUCCUGGUGUAGCGGUGAAAUGCGCAGAUAUCAGGAAGAACACCCGUGGCUAAGGCGGCUCUCUAGUACGGUACUGACGCUGAGACGCGAAAGCGUGGGGAGCGAACAGG